GAAUUCAGUAGCUAUUCAUGAUUUUAAAAGAAAAAAACUUCUAGUAAACUAGGAAUGGUAGGAAAUUUCUUCAACUUGCAGCUGAUGUUCAGCAGCAAGGAGGCAACUGAGUAGGUGUGCGCUCUGAACCAUGUCAUGGCCACUUCCCCUGCACUGCUGCUACUCCCCCACUAAGGAACAGAUUGGAAGGAUGAAUUCUUACAAGUGGCCUGAGAGGGAGGUUGAGGUAGCUGGGACUCAAACAGGCUCUCAUAUGAGAUGGAGAC